UUCUUAUGAUAGUUCAUCACGCAAACUUGAUAGCUCUUGUUGGAUACUGUGAUGAGGACACAAACAUGGGCUGAUCUAUGAGUUCAUGGCUAAUGGAAACUUAGAGGCACAUCUCUUAGAAACCCAAGCAGCUGGUAUCUUGAGUUGGGAAGGGAGACUUCGAAUAGCAACAGAUGCAGCAAAAGGAUUGGAGUACUCCAUAGCGGCUGU